AAGGGAAAGCCUUUGAGUCUUGAAUUAAUGAAAAUGCAGUGCCUCCCAACAAAGUUUUAUGGUUACAGUUGCAAAUACAGAAAGAAAUUUCAACACAAAGUGCAUCUAAUAUAGUUAAAAUUAGCUACCAAUUUCAAGUCACAUUAUGGAAUAAAUUAGAGUCCAGUGCUUGCCUAUGUUCAUGUUGUUAUUAAUUUUCCAGUAGUACUUCCACAACUGUUUGUGUUUUAGAACUAAUUGAUUUGAAACAAACAAAACAAAACAUUCUUGGAACACAAAGCCAUUUCUUUUCAAAGAAACAUAGAAAAAAAAAAUGAAUUCCAAAAACAUAAGCGAUUUUACUUAAAGACAGUCAUAAAGAAGUAUAUGCCAAUUUUGUAUUUAAGAAGAAAAACGGCCAUGGAUAUGGUCCUCAGGUCAGCAAACACAAUGCAUGUGUGUGUGUGUUCGUCUUUUGCGACAGAUAGAUAGAAUGACUAUAAAUAAAAUACAUAUGUGUGUAGAUACUAAAUAAAAUACAUAUGUGUGUAGAUACAAAUACGUGAUCUGGAGAACACACACACACACAACCAUAAGCACAUACAGUUUAGUCUCUUGAUCAUUAACCAAUACAUGCUCAUUGUCAAAAUUUUAAAAACACAGAAGAGUACAACAAAAAAUAGUAGCUAGGAUAGGAAAUUAACUACUGGGCAAAAAUAUGGUUGGCCAUGUGUUAUAUUUUCAUAGUAUUUAUUCUGUGCACCUAUUUCUACAGUAAAAAGCAUAUGUGCAUGUUUAUAUUUAUUUUGUAUCAUAGGAAGCAUUUUCUACAUACAAUUUACUAUCCUACAUUUCCCACUUAGUAUAUUAUGAGCAAUAUGUCAAUUCAUUAAAUUUUCUUUCAACAUAAUUUUUGUUUAUAUAUAAUGUUAUAUAUCAUGACCAUGAUAUGGUACAAUGGUUUCACUGGAAAUUUAGCAAAAUUUUUUUCACUUUUUAUCAUUGCAAUCAGUAAUUACAGUUGUACAUAAAAUUUCUUCACAUGUAAAUUCAUUUUGAAAUUGAGAUCAACUAAAAUUUAUCAUCUUGAUAUUUACUUGAAUUCAUUGUAUUAUAUACAUUAUACCAAUUCAUAAAACGUAAUUAAAAUUGGCAUUUAAUGGCCACACAAUAUUUUAUGAUAUGAAUAAUUUAAUGCAAAAUUUACAUUAAAUUUUAUACAUUUAAAAUUUUAUAUUGUUUCUAAUUUAUUAAUAAUAUAAAUAGGUUAAAUAUGGACAAUAUUAUACAUGAGCCUUUGUAUAUUUCUUUGAUUAUUGUCUUAGGAUGGAGUUCAAAAGAGCAUAUAAAGGUACAAUCAUGAUUAAGACUUUGUUAAUUUCCCACUAACUAGAUUUUUUUUCAAUGUUCAGCAUUAAAAAAUUAAUACACUUAACCUGUAUUAUUGCAAAUACUAUGUUUAAUUCCAAUAGUAAAUGAACAGUUUGAUAAACAAAAUUUAACAUUGUAUGUUUCCAUUCAUAUCAUUGAUUACAAAUAAUAUUUGACCUUUAAAAACCAGGUUUUUUCUUUUUUUUGGUUUUUGUUGUCCUAACCAUCUCCUAAAUUACUUUUAUCUGUGGAUAACUUAUUCUUAAAUAUUUCUGAAAAUCUUAGAUUUUAUUUGUUUCCUUUGAUAUAUUAAGAGAUUUUUUUUCCCCCCAAGUGAUCAGGGUGUUAUUUAUUAAUGAUGUUUUACCAUUUCCUUCUCUUUACUCACUUAGGGACAAGAAACACUUUUAUUCAGACUCAUUUAUGAAACAGUGAUUGGGUUACCAUUGAUUCAAUUCAGUGUAUGUAUACUGUGCAAGAUUACAAAACAGUACACUAUCAAAGCUGACUAGUAUCCAUGAGGAUGCAGGUUCAAUCACUGGCCCUUCUCAGAGGGUUAAGGAUCUGGUGUUGCUAUGAGUUGUGAAGUAGGUUGCAGACUCGGCUUGGAUCUGGUUUUGCUGUGGCUGUGGCAUAGGCCAGCAGUUUCAGUUCCAAUUUGACCCCUAGCCUGGAAACUUCCACAUGCUGCCAGUGUGGCCCUAAAAAAGAAAAAAAAAAAUUAAACCUAAUUAAAUUUAAAAACUUUUGCACAGUAAAAGAAAACCAUAAGCAAGACAGAAAGACAGUUCACAGAAUGGAAGGAAAUAUUUGCAAAUGAAGCAACAGGCAAGGGAUUAAAUCUUCAAAAUAUACAAACAACAUAGCAGCUUAACAUAAAAAAAAGACAGCCCAAUCAAAAAAUGGGCAGAAGAUCUAAAUAGACAUUUCUCCAAAGAAGACACACAUAUGGCUAAAAAAUACAUGAACAGAUGCUCAGCAUCACUAAUUAUUAGAGAAAUGCAAAUCAAAACUUUAAUGAAGUAUUGUUUCACACCAGUCAAAAUGGCCAUCAUCAAAAAGAUUCUGCAAAAUAAAUGCUGGAGAGGGUGCAGAGAAAAGGGAAUGCUCCUGCACUGUUGGUGGGAAUGUAAAAUGGUACAACCAGUAUAGAAAACAGUGUGGAGGUUCCGCAGAAAACUAAAUAUAGAAAUACAGUAGAAAAAAUAAUAAUAACAUAUUGGGGAAAUAAAAAGAAAUACCAUGUGAUCAGCAAUCCCACUCCUAGGCAUAUAUCCAGAGAAAAGCAUAAUUUGAAAAGAUAGUGCACCCCAGCAUUCACUGUAGCUAUUUACUAUUUAUAGUAGCCAACACAUGGAACCAACUAAAUGUCCAUUGAUGGAAGAGCAGAUAAAGAAGAUGUGGUGAAUGCGUACAAUGGAAUAUUACUCAGCCAUAAGAAGAUUGAAAUAAUGCUAUUUGCAGCAACAUGAAUGAAUCUAGAGAUUAUCAUACUAAGUGAAGUCUGUCAAAGACAAAUAUAUGAUAUCACUUAUAUGUAGAAUCUAAAAAAAUGAUGCAAAUGAACUUAUUUACAAAGCAGAAACAGACUGUAGCGCUUCAGAAAUAAAUAUGGUUACCAAAGGGGACAGGUGGUGGGGAGGGAUGGAUUGGGAUUGGCAUGUGCACACUACCGUGCAUGGAAUAGAUGUCAGCAGGGACCUGCUAUGUAGCACAAAGAACUCUACCCAAUAUUCUGUAAUAACCUCUAUGGGAAAAUAAUCUCAAAAAAAAAAUGGGUACGUGUAUAUAUAAAACUGAAUCACUUUCUUGUUCAGCAACUAUUACAGCAUUGUAAAUCAACUGUAAUUCAAUAAAACUUAAAAAAAAAUCAGUUCAAAGAAGUUUGGGGCAUUGCUGUCUGAGGAGCAGCUAAACAAACAAGCAUUUUCAAAUGAUACAACUGAAAAGGGCUUAAUCUCUAAAAUAUACAAACAACUUACACAACUCAACAGCCAAAAAAACACAACAACCCAAUUAAAAAAUGGGCAAAAAAACCUGAAUAGACAUUUCUCCAAAGAUGAUAUACAGAUGGCCAACAAGCACAUGAAAAAAUGCUCAACAUCCCUGAUUAUUAGAGAAAUGUAAAUUGAAAUUGCCAUGAAAUACCACCUCACAGCAAGUCAGAAUGGCCAUCAUUAAAAAGUCCACAAAUAGUGAAUGCUGGAGAGGGUGUGGAGAAAAGGGAACCCUCCUGCACUGUUGGCGAGAAUGUAAAUUGGUACAACCACUAUGGAGAACAGUACGGAGAUAACUUAGAAAUAUAUACAUAGAACUGCCAUAUGACCCAGCAAUCCCACUAUUGGACAUAUAUCUGGACAAAACUUUCCUUGAAAAAGACACAUGUACCUGCAUGUUCAUUGCAGCACUCUUCACAAUAGCCAAGACAUGGAAACAACCUAAAUGUCCACUGACAGAUGAAUGGAUUAGGAAGGUGUGGUAUAUACACACAAAGGAAUACUACUCAGCCAUGAAAAAAAAACAAAAUAAUGCCAUUUUUAGCAACACGGAUGGAACUAGAGAUUCUCAUACUAAAUGAAAUCAGUCAGACAGAGAAAGACAAAUACCAUGUGAUAUCACUUACAUCUGGAAUCUAAUAUAUGGCGCAAAAGAUCCUUUCCAUGGAAAAGAAACUCAUGGACUUGGAGAACAGACUUGUGGUUGCCAAGGGGGAGGGGGAGGGAGUGGUAUGGACUGGGAGUCUGGGGUUAAUGGUUGCAAACUAUUGCCUUUGGAGUGGAUAAGCAAUGAGAUCCUUCUGCAUAACAUGGGGACUAUAUCCAGUCACUUAUGAUGGAGCAUGAUGGAGGAUGAUGUGAGAAAAAUAACGUGUACAUAUGUGUGACUGGGUCACUUUGCUGUAUAGUAGAAAAUGAUAGAACACUGUAAACCAACAAAAAUGGAAAAAAUCAUUAAAAAAUAAAGAAAGUGGUGUGGCAUUUCUUUUCUCUUGUGUCAUGGUGAUGUGCCUGGAAGUCAGUGUCAACAUCUUAGAGAUGCAUCUAGAUCUGCUGCGUGGAGUAAAAUUUUCACCAAAUUCCAUUCGCUCUUUAACCUUUUGAAGUGUUACAAAUAGGCACCUCUCAUACAAGGAUUCAAAAUUCCCGUCACCGUAGGAGUUGCAGAAGAUAGUUAAAAGUCAUCAUAGGAUUAGAACAUUCCUUAAUGCAGUGCUUUUCAAAGAUUUACAUAAGUCCAGACUAGUCCUCAAAAUGUUUGUCACCAGUCUGAGAUGAGAAAAAGGGUAGAAAUUGAGAAUAAGCAUUUAGACACCUUAUAACUCUUUGACUACUAUAAGACAUUACUGUGAAUUCAAAAUGUAAACCUCAGGCUAUAAUUAUCAUAUUGUUUUGUCUUAAAAUUAAUAUAUGAUCCAAGACAUCCUGUUUUUUCUAUUACAAUAAUUAUAUAUGCUACAUCUUCAUAAACUUAGUCGUAUAUCACAGUGUAAACUCCCUAUCAAAUUGUUCUGUUAUCAUACACUGUAAAGAUUGGUUCCUAUAAUAACUAACUUCUUUUAAAUGGUGACUUUUUUGGCUAAUACUUAUCACAGGAUGAUGAAGACCUCUUAAACAGAACUGUGGUUAAGUCCCAGGAUCACUACUUCAGAAUCCCCUAGAAUGCAGGGGGCCUGGACAGUUGUGUCGCUUCAGUCUCCUGUGGUUCCUUGGAAAUGGUGUCAUCAGAGUGGCGUAGGUGGGGGGGCCCAGGGUCCCAGGGUGAAGGGUGGUGCCCAGUGUCGUGCUUGGUGCCAACUUUGGAUUUCUAAGUCAACAGCAGGCACUGGAAGGUGCAAAGCAUCUGACUACUGUCACUCGUGCUGGCAAAUCUGUUGUUUUUCAAAGAACAAAGUGUGUUUCAGGGCCAGCUGAAAGUCCUUUUGUCUUCCAGCUCCACAAGUUAAAUAAACUAGUAAAAAUCCUUCUGGGGUUCUGGUCACACGUUGACUGUCAAUCAUGGCUUUUGGUGUCAUCCCUUUUUACGGCUAAGAAGGUUUUGUAAGGUGAAGACUGGGAAA
rnacentral:lncRNA from 1 species